GGAAAGUAUAUAAAGAAACUAUUAGGGAUGCCUGGCUAUAUAUUAAAGAGAGAAGACAUUUAAUUUGUGUUUAAAAUAAAUAGUUAAUACUAGUGAACACAUUAACUCUUAGAUAAAUUAAAUAAUAAUAAACGAAGUGAAUUGAAAUAUCUUAGUAACUUUAGGAAAAGAAAUCAAACGAGAUUCUACGAUUAGUGUGAAUGAAAGUAGAACAGCCUAUAUUAAUAUCAGAAUAUAAUGAUUCAUAAAUUGUAAUAAUAAAAUAUUAACAUUACUUGGAAAUUGUAAAUAAAUUCCACUGAUAAAUUAAACAAGUAAAACGGGCAAAACCUGUUUGAAGAUAAAGGGGAACCUUCCUCUAAGGCUAAAUAUAAUAUAUAAGCGACAGCGUAUAGUACUGUGAAGGAAAGGUUUGAAAUAGUAGUUUUAUAAGCAGCUCGAGUAAAUUUAAAAAAAAAUAAGAGCGUACCUUUUGCAUAAUGGGUCAGCAAGUUAAUAUUAGAUGCGAGCAGCAAUGCCUAGAUAAACCAAUUAUGAAAUAAUGAAAUAGUAUCUAAAAUUAGACCCGAAGCCUGGUGAUCUUACUACAGUCAGGGUUAUAAAAGCCCGAACGGGUUAUCGUUGUAAAGAUAUCCGAAGAACUGUGGUAAGUUAGUGAAAGACAACACUGACUAGGAUAGCUGGUUUUCUGCGAAACCUAUAUAAGUAGGUAAUUCAAGU
rnacentral:ncRNA from 1 species